CGAAGUCUGUUCCCCUCAUUGGCGUCCAGAGUUCGCCUUGGAGGUUUUAAGACUUCGCAGAGUAAUUGGAGCACAUCAUUCACCCGCGUCCAAGUGAAGUUGAAUUUGCGCGCGGUUUUGGAUCUGCUCACAGAA
rnacentral:snoRNA from 1 species